UACGGGGGGGGCAAGCGUUGUUCGGAAUUACUGGGCGUAAAGGGCUCGUAGGCGGCCAACUAAGUCAGACGUGAAAUCCCUCGGCUUAACCGGGGAACUGCGUCUGAUACUGGAUGGCUUGAGGUUGGGAGAGGGAUGCGGAAUUCCAGGUGUAGCGGUGAAAUGCGUAGAUAUCGGGAGGAACACCAAUGGCGAAGGCAGCUCGCUGGGACGUGACUGACGCUGAGACGCGAAAGCGUGGGGAGCAAACAGG
rnacentral:rRNA from 1 species